rnacentral:lncRNA from 1 species
UCGGCUGGCCAAGAUCCCGCCAGGUUACUAGGGCAGCGUGAGAAAGCCGUGUGAGUCUGCUGGAAUGCAGGAGGCCUUCGAGUGCAGAUGCUCAAUAAAUACUGAUUGAUAACAACUCAUAUUUAGUGCUAUAACGAAGAUUAGUAAAAUUAAUUGGAAACACAUUUAAUGUUAGCGUGGUUGGUAUGAUUCAUGGCUAACACAUAAAAACCAAAGUAAAAGUCAAGUUUUACACGUCCUCUCUUCUCUUUUUUUAAGGACUUUAGUGGAGAUGAGCUGUCACUCGCUAUUAAAAGUUCAAAGUCAAAUUUGCAGUCCACUUCUGGCAAGGAAGACAGAGCUGCGUGGCCCUCUCAGAGCCUUUAAGAAGCCAGUAAGGAAAUCCAGCUGCAUUUCCCUGGAACCCUGUUGUCAUGGAGUGUCCCCAAUGCUGGGAUGCAUGUACCUGAGGGCAUAUGAAGACUUCUCAAGGGAUACAGGUAAUUUAAAAGGAAUCAAUUUCCAGAUCUUAAUUCCGUAUGUUUCCUUUGAUAGAACUGAUCCACCUGAGAAUAAGACUGCCUUCCCAAUGCUGUGGGCUGUUCCCCUUGGUAAAAGAGAGGCUGGCCUCUCACUCACCCCAAAUCUUACCAUGAGGACCUACACUGGGAUCCAAGUAUUCUGGGUUGCCUGCUCCUUGAAUGUUAAAUCAUGAAACACUUAGGGUCCCAUUUUACCCAGAGUUUUGUUAAGCCUGAAGCUGUG